rnacentral:rRNA from 1 species
UACGUAGGGGGGCAAGCGUUGUCCGGAAUCAUUGGGCGUAAAGCGCGCGUAGACGGCCCGGUAAGUCCGCUGUAAAAAGUCCAGGGCUCAACCCUGGAAAGCCGGUGGAUACUGUCGGGCUAGAGUCCGGAAGGAGGCGAGUGAAUUCCUGGUGUAGCGGUGGAAUGCGCAGAUAUCGGGAAGAACACCCGUGGCGAAGGCGGCUCUCUGGGACGGUACUGACGCUGAGACGCGAAAGCGUGGGGAGCGAACAGG